rnacentral:rRNA from 1 species
CCUACGGGCGGCAGCAGUGAGGAAUAUUGGUCAAUGGGCUUACGCCUGAACCAGCCAAGUCGCGUGAGGGAAGACUGCCCUAUGGGUUGUAAACUUCUUUUAUAUGGGAAUAAAGUGUUCCACGUGUGGGUUUUUGUAUGUACCAUAUGAAUAAGGAUCGGCUAACUCCGUGCCAGCAGCCGCGGUAAUACGGAGGAUCCGAGCGUUAUCCGGAUUUAUUGGGUUUAAGGGGAGCGUAGGUGGGUUGUUAAGUCAGUUGUGAAAGUUUGCGGCUCAACCGUAAAAUUGCAGUUGAAACUGGCAGUCUUGAGUACAGUAGAGGUGGGCGGAAUUCGUGGUGUAGCGGUGAAAUGCUUAGAUAUCACGAAGAACUCCGAUUGCGAAGGCAGCUCACUGGACUGCAACUGACACUGAGGCUCGAAAGUGUGGGUAUCAAACAGGAUUAGAUACCCGAGUAGUC